rnacentral:rRNA from 1 species
GACGAACGCUGGCGGCGUGCCUAAUACAUGCAAGUAGAACGCAGUUGCGAACGGGUGAGUAACGCGUAGGUAACUGCCUCAUAGCAGGGGAUAAAUAACGGGAACGAUAGCUAAUACCUCAUACUGUGAGAUGGACCUGCGUUGUUUUAGGUAGUUGGUGAGGGAAAGGCUCACCAAGGCGACGGUACAUAGCCGACCUGGGAGGGUGAGAGGCGCCACUGGGACUGGGACACGGACCAGACUCCUACGGGAGGCAGCAGGAGGGAUUCUUAGGCAAGGGACGGGAGUCUGACCGAGCAACGCCGCGGUAGUGAAGAAGGUUUUCGGAUCGUAAGGCUCUGUUGUUAGAGAAGCGGUAACAAACCAGAAAGGGACGGCUAACUACGUGCCAGCAGCCGCGGUAAUUC